rnacentral:rRNA from 1 species
UACAGAGGUCUCAAGCGUUGUUCGGAUUCAUUGGGCGUAAAGGGUGUGUAGGCGGCCAGGUAGGUCUGCUGUGAAAACUCGAGGCUUAACCUCGAGCUGUCGGCGGAAACCAUCUGGCUAGAGUCCGGAAGAGGAGAAUGGAAUUCCCGGUGUAGCGGUGAAAUGCGCAGAUAUCGGGAAGAACACCCGUGGCGAAGGCGGUUCUCUGGGACGGUACUGACGCUGAGACGCGAAAGCGUGGGGAGCGAACAGG